rnacentral:rRNA from 1 species
UACGUAGGCAGCGAGCGUUGUUCGGAGUUACUGGGCGUAAAGAGUGCGUAGGCGGUGCUCUAAGUUUGGUGUGAAAUCUCCCGGCUCAACUGGGAGGGUGCGCCGAAAACUGGAGUGCUCGAGUAUGGGAGAGGUAAGCGGAAUUCCUGGUGUAGCGGUGAAAUGCGUAGAUAUUGGGAGGAACACCAGUGGCGAAGGCGGCUCACUGGACCGGUUCUGACGCUGAGGCGCGAAAGCGUGGGGAGCAAACGGG